CAGAGAAAGGAAGCGCAUCCAGAAUCAGCUAUUUUCUUUGAUGAGGGAGAACAAAAUAUUGGUGGAAAAAUUAAGAAAUGCCAAAAGCAAUGCUCCUAUAAAUGUAUGCAAAGAUGGAGAUGUUGAUAAAAAGGUUCUCUUUUCCGAAAGCAACUUAUCUAAUGAAACUCUUGGAAAAGCUUCUGAGGAAGCGAUGUUAUCUAAAAGUUCUCAGGCAGGUGGAUAAGGUAUUUGCCGCAUGAGAUUGAAGUGGGGAGUUCUCAUCCCGCACAUGAAAGUUCUGACUUGGUUUCAAAGCUUCAAGUGAAGAGGACAAAGCUGGCAGGGCAAACUAACAGGUUGCUUAAUUUCAAAGCAAUUCUUGUUGCAGUAAUUGCAGUGAUGGUCAUGUAUUUGUUACACAAGAAGAAAUAUGUCCCAUUUGAGAACUUCUGAUGGCUGACUUUCAUAGUGAAAUUAUGACCAUAAAGACCACAUUCUAGCAGCUCCCACUGUAUUACAUGUUGUAAUAGUUUGUUGUAACUGUGUCUGUGUGUCAUAGUUGAAUAUAAUUGUUCUUUUUUCUUCCCUUUUCUUUUCUUAUCAGUGCCAUCCAUGGCAAAAUGUGAAUCUUUGUAAUGAGACGCUAUUCAUUAUCAAUUCUU
rnacentral:misc_RNA from 1 species